GAAUGAACGGAAGCGAGCUGGUGUUCAAUUCACCUCUGCGUCAUAGGACCAGCUGCCUCUGCUCUUGCCAUACCUUCUUCACCAUCGGAGACUAUACCCUCCAUCUGUGAGCCAAACAGACCGUCCUGUUAGUAUGGAACCUCAAGGUCUUUAUGACAAUGGAAACAAAAAAAUUGAUUGGCAAACCGCUUCAACCAGCAAGACCUGUUCGUCAUCUCUCUUCUCCUCCAGGACCAGUGUUCCCUUUCAACUUUCAGAAUGAAUAUCCAUGCAGCACUCAAUGCUUACAAAGUGGAGUGGGCAGAUGUAAGACGAAUGGAAUGCAAGCCUUUUCUCAAGGUCUCAAUGAGCAACAGCAACACCAGUCUCCAGUUAAAAAAGAGAGAAUUAAAUAUAGCAGAGAUUUCUUGUUGAAGCUUUCAAGUGUUUCCAUCUGCAGAAAAAAACCAGACUUUCUGCCUGAUCAUCCCAUUGUACUUCAAAAACCAGAAAACAACCAAAGUUUUAAGUAGAAUUUUAAGAACAGAUGAAUUUGAAGAUAAAGAAUUAUUCAUUUUAUAUUUUGGACACCUGCAAAUGAAGUGGACCUAGUACAAUAACUAAUGGACUGUGGCGAUUCAAUUUAUUUUUACUUUUGAUGGUUGGCUAUUUGGCUUCUCAUAAAAGGAGAAAGAGAUAUUUUAAAGUAUAAAGAAUUUUUCUAAUCAGUUUCAGCUUUGCAGGCAGUUCCUGCAAAAAUUGGGAAAUAACACUCGAAAGUG
rnacentral:lncRNA from 1 species